UCGGGAAUUUUGGGCAAUGGGCGAAAGCCUGACCCAGCAACGCCGCGUGAGGGAUGAAGUAUUUCGGUAUGUAAACCUCGAAAGAAUGGGAAGAAUAAAUGACGGUACCAUUUAUAAGCUCCGGCUAACUACGUGCCAGCAGCCGCGGUAAUACGUAGGGAGCAAGCGUUGUUCGGAUUUACUGGGCGUAAAGGGCGCGUAGGCGGCGCGGUAAGUCACUUGUGUAAGCUCUGAGCUUAACUCAGAACGGCCAAGUGAUACUGCUGUGCUAGAGUGCGGAAGAGGAAAACGGAAUUCUUGGUGUAGCGGUGAAAUGCGUAGAUAUCAAGAGGAACACCUGAGGCGAAGGCGGGUUGCUGGGCCGACACUGACGCUGAUGCGCGAAAGCCAGGGGAGCAAACG
rnacentral:rRNA from 1 species